AUUGAACGCUGGCGGCAGGCCUAACACAUGCAAGUCGAACGGUAACAGGAAGAAGCUUGCUUCUUUGCUGACGAGUGGCGGACGGGUGAAUAAUGUCUGGGAAACUGCCUGAUGGAGGGGGAUAACUACUGGAAACGGUAGCUAAUACCGCAUAACGUCGCAAGACCAAAGAGGGGGACCUUCGGGCCUCUUGCCAUCGGAUGUGCCCAGAUGGGAUUAGCUAGUAGGUGGGGUAACGGCUCACCUAGGCGACGAUCCCUAGCUGGUCUGAGAGGAUGACCAGCCACACUGGAACUGAGACACGGUCCAGACUCCUACGGGGGGCAGCAGUGGGGAAUAUUGCACAAUGGGCGCAAGCCUGAUGCAGCCAUGCCGCGUGUAUGAAGAAGGCCUUCGGGUUGUAAAGUACUUUCAGCGGGGAGGAAGGGAGUAAAGUUAAUACCUUUGCUCAUUGACGUUACCCGCAGAAGAAGCACCGGCUAACUCCGUG
rnacentral:rRNA from 1 species